CCAGACUCCUACGGGAGGCAGCAGUGGGGAAUAUUGGACAAUGGGGGGAACCCUGAUCCAGCCAUGCCGCGUGUGUGAAGAAGGCCUUAUGGUUGUAAAGCACUUUAAGCGAGGAGGAGGCUACUAGUAUUAAUACUACUGGAUAGUGGACGUUACUCGCAGAAUAAGCACCGGCUAACUCUGUGCCAGCAGCCGCGGUAAUACAGAGGGUGCGAGCGUUAAUCGGAUUUACUGGGCGUAAAGCGUGCGUAGGCGGCCAUUUAAGUCAAAUGUGAAAUCCCCGAGCUUAACUUGGGAAUUGCAUUCGAUACUGGAUGGCUAGAGUAUGGGAGAGGAUGGUAGAAUUCCAGGUGUAGCGGUGAAAUGCGUAGAGAUCUGGAGGAAUACCGAUGGCGAAGGCAGCCAUCUGGCCUAAUACUGACGCUGAGGUACGAAAGCAUGGGGAGCAAACAGGAUUAGAUACCCUGGUAGUCCAUGCCGUAAACGAUGUCUACUAGCCGUUGGGGCCUUUGAGGCUUUAGUGGCGCAGCUAACGCGAUAAGUAGACCGCCUGGGGAGUACGGUCGCAAGACUAAAACUCAAAUGAAUUGACGGGGGCCCGCACAAGCGGUGGAGCAUGUGGUUUAAUUCGAUGCAACGCGAAGAACCUUACCUGGCCUUGACAUACUAGAAACUUUCCAGAGAUGGAUUGGUGCCUUCGGGAAUCUAGAUACAGGUGCUGCAUGGCUGUCGUCAGCUCGUGUCGUGAGAUGUUGGGUUAAGUCCCGCAACGAGCGCAACCCUUUUCCUUACUUGCCAGCAUUUCGGAUGGGAACUUUAAGGAUACUGCCAGUGACAAACUGGAGGAAGGCGGGGACGACGUCAAGUCAUCAUGGCCCUUACGGCCAGGGCUACACACGUGCUA
rnacentral:rRNA from 1 species